CUGGUGGCACUGGAGCUGGCAUGCAGAGCUCUCUGCCCUUGCUCACUUCCUCCCCUGCCUUUUAAAAGUGGUCGCUUUCUGCUCCAAAAGUGAAGUGGCACAUUUAAAGGCAGGAUGCCUGUGCCUCUUCCCCUAAGCUAGUUUGAGAAUAAAUCACUUUCUUUAUACCAGACUCUGCAUGCGGUAAGCAACUAACCUGCUUAUUGCUAACCUGUCUCAUUGAAUCCAGGCGCUGGGGAAACACUGGUUCAGAGAAGUUAGAUAAUUUGCCUGAGAUUGACCAGCUGGAAAUAAGAACAAUUUGAACUCCAGAAGUCUGGCUCCUAGGUCCAUGACCACCUUCAUACCCUGGUGUUGCCUUUAUUACAAAUGACAAUAAAAUACUUG
rnacentral:lncRNA from 1 species